UAGGCUUUUACGCAACGACGCGCAUCGCCUCCUGGUUUGAGUCGGGGGUGCUCAGAACUUUUCGUCGUCUUCCUCUUAAAAGUGCCCGUCGAUCAAGUGACUGAACUGAAGUCAAGACUCGCCUGAGCAAUUGCGUGGUCGGAACCCAAACAGCUGCUCUGCCAUCUUUUUCCUCUUUGCUUCGCCAUCAUGAGACUCAUCAAUGAACUGCAACUCAUAUUUGAACAGUCACAGUGCGUCGCCGCCGCCGCAUCGUGGAGUUUAAAUAGUUAAAAGGCGGUCUCUGGGAAAUUUGACGCUCCUGGUGUCUAGAGAAAUGUUACAUAUUAACAUUCCCUUUCCAGGUUUUUGGAGAAGGAGGAGGCGGCGGCUUCAGUUCUCUUCCCACCCUUGCCGUCGAGGAAAAAAAAACCCAAACUCCUUUUUCUUUCCACGGCCAUUGAUUCUCUUGGCGUCGAAGAACAAACCCCCAAACCGGAAGUUUUUGCCAAACAACUGUUGGAUUUGGGUCUUUUUCUGCCCCUUUCUCUGGAUACCUCUGGAGAUGCUGCUGAGACAGAUCUCUUGGCCCUAUUGUGCCUGGCUUGGGGUUUGCUUGUGGCUUUUGGCUGGAGAAAAUGGAUGUGUGAGCACUGAACUCUGCAGGAGCCCCCCAUGCAGUUGGAAUAGCCAUGGCGAGCUUUUGCCUGCCAGACCACAGUGCCAAGGUCCUCACUGCUUGCGAAGGGCAGGUCACUCUUCCAGGACCUUUGUUCCGACCAGCACAUCUGUGCAAGAGUCAGUGCAGAGCAAGGANUCGCCUUCUGCCUUCCUCCACCAGCAGCAGCCUCCACAGCAGUUGUCAGAGCAACACCCAGCACUGGUCUCCAGGGCUGCAGAAGUGAAUUGUUCUGGAGAGGGGAAUUGCACCACCAGGGUCUCCAGUAGCACCCCAGGGGACUGCAAAGGCAUUGAGUGUCGGCUGCCCCUGCGCAUUCGCCAGAAGCCCAGGCGGGUUACUGCAUGCUCCCCGGACCAAAGGGAAGGCUGCCCUGAGCCUCCCUUGGUCAGAGUAACGGAGAGGGCUGCCCAGUUUAUUGGGGGAGACCUUGCUUACACAGCUUCAGAACUAGGAGGUGCCACCUUGGGCGUUCAGCUUUCCUGUGACGUUAAACCAGGAGAAAAUGAGGUCCCAUCUGAGGAUGCACUUGUUCUACAGCUUCAGCUUACAAAAGGACAAGAGGAGUUUGUUGAAAUGCUAAAAAGUCAGCAGAUGACAAUUGUGGAUUUGCAGCAAAAACUCUCAGAGCAACAGAACACGUUGGUCGCCCAGCAGAGGAAAAUUAUUGAGCAACAAAGGAAAAUGUAUGAACAAAUGGAUUUGAUAAAGGUCCAGUANGGCAUGCUUUUUGACACAGUGAAGCAAAUGUCAUUUAAGAAUUUGCAAGAGGAUAUUCAACACUAUUUCGAAGCCAAUCUCCAAGGCCUUCAGAAUCAAGUCAGAAAUCAUUUCCAGAAGCCAUACUCGAUGCACAGAGUAGACGUCGAUGCAAAAGUGAUUGAUGUUGGGGAACCUUUAAUGAACUGUGGCCUUUGUGAAAGUGAUGAAUUUUGCAAUUUUCAGAAGACACCUGCACAGUGUGAAAAAUGCACCUUAUGCCCUGCUGGCUUUUUCCAGCUGUCUGAAUGUUCUGGAAAUUCUGAUCGGAUUUGCCAGGACAGAGAUGAGUGCAUUGAAUCACCAAACAUCUGUGGGGAAAGGAUAAAGUGCCUGAACACUCCAGGAGGAUUCCGGUGCCUUGGUAUUGCAGAAAAAGAAGCUUCUUUGGGAUUGUGUGGAGAAGAAUACUUUUUUAACAAAGAACUGCAAGAGUGCCAGGCUUGUCUGAUUUGUGAGGAUGGUGUGGCUGUUUUCCCCUGUUCUGCUGCUAGCGAUACAGUUUGUUCCAUAGCUAGUGAAAAUAAGCUUUCUGAGUCUUGGGCUGCAAAUAUUGUUUUACCCUUGGCAAAGUCGGGGACGGAUCAAGUCUAUCCUGGCUUAAAUUUGAGGGUAGAGGGAAAGCAAGAGUCAGAUAUUGUACGAACAGAACAGGACAGCUUGGUGUUCAGGCAACAUGGCUUAAUGUGGGCUGACUUCAAUUUUGCAGUGAAACACAACUGCAGAAAUUUCCUCCAAGUCUCCCUAAAAUUCAACAAUAGUGAGGAAGGCUGUGAACUGAGCGGAGUUCGCAUUGAGCAACCAGAAAGUAAAAUUUUCCAGAGUGUCAGUGUGAGCAUCGCUGCAGAGGUGGAGCCCAGUCAAAUUCUUUCAGUGGUUUUGAAGAGUCCCAAUCAAUUCUGUAACCAAAGUAAAGAUUUAAGCAUUUAUGACCUCAAUACACCUCUGAGUUUGUUUUGGGUAUCCCACGAUACAGGGGCGGUGGCUAUGAUGGCCCAUAUGUCAACAGCGAUGCACUACCAAACCAAUUAUCGCCCAGCCUUUAAGAUAGUCUCCCUUUCUGACCCUUACAUGUUGACCUUAUCCCAUGAUGGCAGGGCUAUCAAGUUUACUGAAACUGGCGUGGUGAAGUUUGUUUUCCACCAAGCCUUAUACUCCAUGGGACACACCUGUGUUCGUGAAGGGUUUUCCCUGAUUUCGUACCUCAGCCAAAAUGGAACCAAUGCAGAACUAAUGACCGUGUAUAAGUCUGGUGUCAAUUACAGAGACACCUCCAUCUCCACUUCAGGGGCCACUAACGUGGGAGCUGGGGAUCUUAUGAGCUUUGAGAUCCUUUCACCAGUACAAUGCAAUGUUCGUUAUUUUGGAGACAGCUCUGGAAUUAGUGGGCUCAGCCUUAUCUGGAUCCCAGCUACAGUUUCCACAGCUGUUUCAGCGUCCGUCUCCAUGAUGGGGCUUCCAACAGGAGCUGUCAGAAACAAAUUACUAGAUUUUAUUCAGGUCUCAUCCAAUGGGAAGCAGAUCCAGCUAGCUUCAACGGGACAGCAUGCUCAGAAAUAUUUUUUGUUUACUGAAAGGGGAGUUGCUAGCAUUGUGUUUACAAUGAAGUUGAUCCACUCAUGUAAUAUGCUUCGAGUGACUCUAAAUCAGCUCCUCAGCUUUCAUGCACAGCCUCAUGUAGUUGCUCAGCAAGUUGGAGGUCAAAUGCCAGAAGGAAGUAUCUGGACCAGUGUUACCCUUCGUUCCUCUUUCAGAGUUCACAACGGAACAAUGAUAUCUGUUUCUCUUGACUGCAUGCGUGGCAGGGUCAACAGCAUUGCUCACCAACGUGGAACCAGUUUAUCUAUCUUAUGGGUUUCAUCAUAA
rnacentral:lncRNA from 1 species